UGAAUAUUCUGGAAUAUUUUUUCCUGGGAAUUACAGUGAUUUUUCCUGGCAUUUACAGUGAUUUUUCCCCCAGAUUUACACAGUUUUAUUUUUGGGAUCCAGCCCUUUUCCUGCAGUUAUUUUAUUAGGAUCCCACUGUUUCCCACAGGUUUGGGGUUUUUUUUGGGAUCCAGCAUUUCCUGCAGAUUUUUGGGGCAGAUCCAACCCUUUCCCAUUAUUUGGUUUUUUGGGGUUUUUUGGGAUCCAACCCUUUCCCAUUGUUUGAUUUUUUGGGGUUUUUUUGGGAUCCAACUCUUUCCCAUUGUUUGGUUUUUUUGGGAUCCAACCUUUUCCCAUUGUUUGAUUUUUUGGGGUUUUUUUGGGAUCCAACCUUUUCCCUCAGGUCUUUCCUUGGGAUCCAACCCUUUCCUGCAGCUUUUUGGGGCAGAUCCUUUCCCAUUGUUUGGUUUUUUGGGGUUUUUUUGGAAUCCAACUCUUUCCCACAGGUUUUUUUUAGGAUCCAACCCUUUCCCUCAGGUGUUUUCUUGUUUUCUUGGGAUCCAACCCUUUCCCAGUGUUUUUUUUUGGGAUCCAACCCUUUCCCAGCGUUUUUUUGGGGCAGAUCCAACCCUUUCCCAUUGUUUGGUUUUUUGGGGUUUUUUUUGGGAUCCAACCCUUUCCCGUUGUUUGGGUUUUUUGGGAUCCAACCCUUUCCCUCAGGUUUUUUUUUGGGAUCCAACCCUUUCCUGCACCUUUUUUUGGGAUCCAAUCCUUUCCCAUUGUUUGGUUUUUUGGGGUUUUUUUGGGAUCCAACCCUUUCCCAUUGUUUGGUUUUUUGGGGUUUUUUUGGGAUCCAACCUUUUCCCACAGCAUUUUUUUGGGAUCCAAUCCUUUCCCUCACGUUUUUUUUUUGG
rnacentral:lncRNA from 1 species